UACGGGGGGAGCAAGCGUUGUUCGGAUUUACUGGGCGUAAAGGGCGCGUAGGCGGUCGUGACAAGUCACUUGUGAAAUCUCCGGGCUUAACUCGGAACGGUCAAGUGAUACUGUCGGACUAGAGUACAGAAGGGGCAACUGGAAUUCUCGGUGUAGCGGUGAAAUGCGUAGAUAUCGAGAGGAACACCUGCGGCGAAAGGCGGGUUGCUGGGC
rnacentral:rRNA from 1 species